rnacentral:rRNA from 1 species
GCUUGACCUCAAAUCAGGUAGGAUUACCCGCUGAACUUAAGCAUAUCAAUAAGCGGA